UACGAGGGGGGCGAGCGUUGUUCGGAAUUACUGGGCGUAAAGGGCGCGCAGGCGGCCUAUCAAGUCAGAUGUGAAAGCCCCGGGCUUAACUUGGGAAUUGCGCUCGAAACUACUUGGCUGGAGUGUGGCAGAGGAAGGUGGAAUUCCACGUGUAGCGGUGAAAUGCGUAGAGAUGUGGAGGAACACCAAUGGCGAAGGCAGCCUUCUGGGCCAACACUGACGCUCAUGCACGAAAGCGUGGGGAGCAAACAGG
rnacentral:rRNA from 1 species